rnacentral:rRNA from 1 species
GACGAACGCUGGCGGCGUGUCUAAUACAUGCAAGUCGUGCGAAGCUUUUCUGUUUCUUUCACUAGAUAAACUUAGCGGCUCACGGGUGUGUAACACGUAAAGAACCUCCCUCAUAGACUGGGACAACUAUUGGAAACGUUAGCUAAUACUGGAUUACAGUAUUUCUCGCAUGGGAGAUACUCAAAAGUUGGUUCUGCUAACAUUAUGACCAGGCCUUCCGGUGCAUUUGCUAGUUGGUGGGGUAAAGGCCCACCCAGGCGACGAUGCAUAGCAGUCCUGGGAGGGUGAUCGGCCACACUGAGGUUGAGACACGUCCCAGACUCCUACGGGAGGCAGCAGUAGGGAAUCUUCCGCAAUGGGCGAAAGCCUGACGGAGCAACGCCGCGUGAGUGAAGAAGGAUUUCGGUUCGUAAAACUCUGUUGUUAGGGAAGAAUGGAUAUGUAGUAACUAUACAUGUAAGAGACGGUACCUAGGCAGAAAGCCACGGCUAACUACGUG